rnacentral:rRNA from 1 species
CGUUGACCUCGAAUCAGGUAGGACUACCCGCUGAACUUAAGCAUAUC